rnacentral:misc_RNA from 1 species
CUGGGUCACAGGGCGCCUCGGCGCCCGUCACCACCCCCUGCUUCCCGCCCCCUUUCGGCGCGACGGGGCCCCUCUGCGGGGCCCCCUGCCGGAAACCAAACCCUGAACGAACUUGCAGCCUGAGUCGAAAAGCAAAUAGUCA